rnacentral:lncRNA from 10 species
GAGGGUAACAAGAGUUACAUCACCUAGGUGAUCAGUGCAGAGAUUUGUCAAAAUUCCCUGUAGGCAGUGCUUAUAAAAGUGUUACAUCACCUAAGUGAUCAGUGCAGAGAUAUGUCACAAAGCUCCUGUAGGCAGAACUUAGAUGAGCUACAUCACCUGGGUGAUCAGUGCAAAUAUAUGUCACAAAGCCCCCUGUAGACAAAUCCCAGAAAAUUGUUACAUCACCUGGGUGAUCAGUGGAGAUAUCUGUCACAAUUCCCCUUUAGGCGCAGCUUAGACAAGCGUUACAUCACAUGAGUGAUCAGUGCAGAGAUAUGUC